AUAGAUACCCCGGUAGUCCACGCCGUAAACGAUGAGUGCUAAGUGUUAGAGGGUUUCCGCCCUUUAGUGCUGCAGCAAACGCAUUAAGCACUCCGCCUGGGGAGUACGGCCGCAAGGCUGAAACUCAAAGGAAUUGACGGGGACUCGCACAAGCGGUGGAGCAUGUGGUUUAAUUCGAAGCAACGCGAAGAACCUUACCAGGUCUUGACAUCCUCUGACCAUCCUAGAGAUAGGACCUUCCCCUUCGGGGGACAGAGUGACAGGUGGUGCAUGGUUGUCGUCAGCUCGUGUCGUGAGAUGUUGGGUUAAGUCCCGCAACGAGCGCAACCCUUGUUCUUAGUUGCCAGCAUUCAGUUGGGCACUCUAAGGAGACUGCCGGUGACAAACCGGAGGAAGGUGGGGAUGACGUCAAAUCAUCAUGCCCCUUAUGACCUGGGCUACACACGUGCUACAAUGGAUGGUACAAAGGGCUGCGAAGCCGCGAGGUGGAGCCAAUCCCAUAAAACCAUUCUCAGUUCGGAUUGC
rnacentral:rRNA from 1 species